rfam:Gossypium raimondii Chr11_contig_740, whole genome shotgun sequence.
AUCCCAUGACGAGGACACUUAUGAAGUAACUCCUUGAAUCGCUUCCAAGCUUCAUACAAAGACUCGUCAUCCAAUUGUUGGAAAUUUUUAUCUCGUUCCUUAAGUU